UACGUAGGGGGCUAGCGUUGUCCGGAUUUAUUGGGCGUAAAGAGCGUGUAGGCGGCCAGGUAGGUCUGGUGUGAAAACUCGAGGCUUAACCUCGAGAUGUCAUCGGAAACCAUCUGGCUAGAGUCCGGAAGAGGAGAGUGGAAUUCCUGGUGUAGCGGUGAAAUGCGCAGAUAUCAGGAAGAACACCAAUGGCGAAAGCAGCUCUCUGGGACGGUACUGACGCUGAGGCGCGAAAGCGUGGGGAGCGAUCCGG
rnacentral:rRNA from 1 species